AGAGAGCAUAAGUGGGAGAGCAUGAGCUGGGGAGGGGGUAGCAGAGGGAGAGGGAGAAGCAGAUUCCCUGCUGAGCAUGGAGCCCGACGCGGGGCUCAAUCCCAGGACCCCGAGAUCACAACCCCAGCUGAAGGCACACAACCGACUGAGGCACCCAGGUGCCCCCACAGUCCUGAGAGCAAAUACUACAAACAUAUAAGAAAGUAGAACAGCAUUAGCUCUUUUUUUGAACCAAGUUUUCAUCCAAACAAUUGAUGCUGGUCAUAGGUGCUUCCUGUUUUUUGUCUUUUAUUUUUCAUCUUUAUUAUUAUUUUUUUAAAUUCAAGUUAGUUAACAUAUAAUGUAUUAUUAGCUUCAGGGUAGAGUUUAGGAUUCGUCAGUUGCAUAUAACACCCAGUGCUCAUUACAUCAAGUGCCCUCCUUAAUGCCCAUCACCCAGUUACCCCAUCCCCCCACCCACUUCCCCUCCUGCAACCCUCAGUUUGUUCCCUAUAGUUAAGAGUCUCUUAUGGUUUGCCUCUCUGUUAUUUUAUUUUUCCUUCCCUUCCCCUACGUUCAUCUGCUUUGUUUCUUAAAUGUGUCUUUUAUUUUUCUAUUUUUUAUUUUUUAAAGAAUUUAUUUACUCAUUUGAGAGAGACAGAGCAUGAGCAGGGGAGAGAGGCAGAGGCAGAGGGAGAAGCAGACUCCCUGCUGAGCUGGGUGCCUGACGUGGGGCUCAAUCCCAGGACCCUGGGAUCACCACCUGAGCUGAAGUCAGACGCUUAACCAUCUGAGCCACCCAGGAAUCUGGAUGCUGAGGUACUCCAUGUCCUUGGUACUCUUCAGAAUCAGAACAAGCCCCCUGGUAGCAGAACCCACAGUUGGCUUCCGAAGAAUCCCAUAGGUGUGUGGACUUUGGUCAUCAAAGGCACUUUGAAAUUUUUAGUGUUAAUAUCUGAUAGCUUUACAAAUAUAAUUUAGCUCACUUUUUCCACCUUUCAUUUCAAAGUGCUUGGGGGUUCUCUUAUAAAUAUCAUGAUUAAUUUCAUAUGAUGGAUUUGCUUAUUUGUUUCCAGUUCAUUAAAAGCUUUUAGGAUUUCUUUCUCUUAUAUAUAUUUUAACCAUUUGAAAGGUAAAUCAGAAAUACAGAAGUACCUUCUGGUCAUGAUUAUCUGGACUUGUUCUCCGUGUGCAAAAUUAUGCAUGAUCAUCAAGUAGUGUCUAUUUAUAACUACCCUGUGUUCAUGCUCCUGUUUCAUAUUAUUGAUCUGAGGCUUUUUAAAUGCAUUGGAGGAAAUGGUGGCAACAUUUCUCAUUGCAUCUCUUAUUAAAUGUCUGGAAGCUGCCGUAUCUCACUGUUUAACCACUAUAGUUUAACCUGAUAUGGUGAGGUGUAUUGUCUGAUUCCCAUUUGGUCCUGUGACUCUGUAAACCAUCACACCCUUCCAUUACAACAGUCUCCAUUGGGGUUAACUUGAACUCCUAAGGGUCUUUGGUUCCCAAUUAUAGACAAGAAGACAUUCUGAUUAAGAGUCUGCAAGACUUGCUUCUACUCUGUAUUAAUGCUUCGUUGUCAAACUCAUUGCAAAAUUAACUUCGGUUUUGCAUGCUGCGACCUCGAGCCUCUCGGAGCUAUUGAGUCUUAUGGGAAGCCAGGGCGAGGGGAGGGCUGUUGGGAAGAUCAGGCAGCUCUCAAUGAGAGGUGGGAACAGGUGCAGAAAGGCUGUUCUCUCCUACCUGCUUUAUUUCAGUAAUGACUGCCUCUUUCUCCGGAGAAAGUAUGGUCCAGAAUGCCGAUUUGAUUUCUGCAGUAUUCUGCUGAUACUCUUAAGAGUAGCUUCUUGGGACAGAGGGGACUUAAAGUUCUUUAGUGUCCAUCACAGAUUUUAGACUUCAGUGUUCAUCUGUAUGACAAAGAAACCUUGGAACCCAGAACUUGGGAAAGCACAUUGGCCUGUCCAAGGUCAGGCAACUCAUUUCAAGCAGCAGCCGGAUAGGAACCCAGAUUCUCCAUCCCUGAAUUUGAAUGCAUGUCUUCACAGCCUCCUCAGACUCCAGAUGUAGGCAAGAAAGAAUCUCAUUCUCCACCCCCACCCCCAUCACCACUACCACCACUUAAAGACAGUAUAGGAUUAGAGCAGAGUCAUUGAAGUCAGCCCCGGAUUCGAGUACUGGUUCUUGCGAUUUUUAGCCCUAUGGGCAUGUUACCUUGUAAUAGUCUGAGCCUCAAGUUCCUCAUCUGUAUAAUGGGAAAAAUAAUACCCUCCUUACAAGAUUGUGAUGAGAGUUGAAUUAGAUUGUGUGUGUCAAAGACUUACUGUAGAGCCAGGCACGCAGUUAACUACCAUGUUCUAGGUCUGCCUGUCCUCCCUCCGUCCCUUACAUACCCAGAAUGGGUCUUUGAUAAAUAGUGCCUUCCCAGUAAUGAUUUCCUGAGGAAGCUCCUAGGCGUGGAGAAUGGAUUUGCUAGAAAUUCUCUUGUGUGACCGUGGUUUGCAUCUGUUUCCAUUUGUAGGCAGGGCCCCUUGGAUCCUCUUGGAGUACGACUUCAUACACUUGCUCUAGGCUUGGACUCCCCUUUUCAAAUGAGCUUUGCCUCUCUUCACGUUGUCUGCAGUAGAUGACUGCGGUAACCUGAAUGUGUUACUUAGAAUCAGACAUUUCACAACGAUGUCUUUCAUUAUGAAACUGUGUCUCUUUAUCUGUAUUCUUUCUCUUUUGCAUAAUGCUGUACACAUCAUUUUCCUGCACAGUGACCUUCUGAAGAGUCUCGAUUUUCUCUCCCCAUUGCAGCUAGCACUUCAUGUUUGGAGUGUUCUUUCAUCGAUUUCCCUUUGUAUUAGGAGAUACGAACCUCCUUGGUGUGAUGAUAGUUACAUGGGCCUUUGUCUCGUUUAAUAAGAUCACUUAGCUGAACACUUGGCUUGAGCCUCUCAUCCUGGGGCUGUUUGAAGUGCUGCCUGCACACAUGUGGAAACUGUAUGUAUUUGAUCUCCAUGAUUGCACGAGACAAUUUUAUGCAACGUUAAGUUCCUUAUUCUACUUCCUGUUACAGGGGGGUUUUUUGUGUGUGGUUUGAAGUAACGUUUGUUUCUUAUGCGGUGCUUACUUUCUUUUUUUCGGAAAGGCAAAUUGUGUUUCUAAAAAAGCAUCCGAAUGAAAUUUGGAGAGGAAAAAUGAUGAGGUAAAUUUCUAUUAGAUGGGGGUGACACAUGACAAAAAAAAUCAGACUUGACUGGUCUUCCCGUUAAUUUAGCUCAAAUGCCAUGUGUGUUUUUAGUCAGGUAAUUUUCCCGUUGCUGCAAACUGCCCUUUGCGGCAUACAAGAUAGAGGAAUGCUUGUAAAUGAAUGGCAGCAAUUAUUAUUCAAAUGAGGGGGUACCAACCGGGAGAAGCACAGCUUGGAGGCUUGCUACCGCGUGAGAUUUAAUUGCUUUGUAUAUUUGUGAAGAUUUCUAAAUUUUAACAUAAUGCAAUAGUAAAGCUCCUUUGGAGGAGAAAAAUGGUACAUCGAAAUUCCAGUUACUGAACUUAGUGAGCCCACUGAUGCACAUUUCUUCACAAUAGAGGGCAUUUAUUAACGUUUUGGUUCUGGGAUGUGCCCUAAGGGGCUUUUCCACCACAUCAGUAUUCAUGAGCAUUGUUAGAAAGUAGCAGUUACCUGCCUCUAUUAGAGAACCAUCUUCUUGGAAGAUGCGGAAUUUACUGUUAUUUAAAGUGGAGGGUCCAGUGUCUAUAUGCCCUUGCAGGAGGAAAAACAAAGAUCAGUUUAAGACUUAGGACUGCUCCAGUUGUUUUGAUCAGCUUGCCAUGUUUUCAUUUUUUGGAUUUUUAGGUGUGUGUGUGUGUGUGUGAGUGUAAAAGACGUCCAUCAGAUAGACGUUGUUGGAUUAUGAAGAAGUUAAUCAUGUCUAGUCUUUUAUAGACCCUUU